rfam:Dipodomys ordii contig_3851, whole genome shotgun sequence.
UGGCUCAGUGGUAGAGUACUUGCCUUGCAUGCAUGAGGCCCUGGGUUCGAUUCCCCAG